UGUCACUUAAUGUCUUCAGUGGAGGGCCCU
rnacentral:piRNA from 1 species